UCUGUCUCUUUCUCUGUCUGUCUCUGUCUCUCUGGCUGUCUCUGCCUAUCUGCCUGUCUCUGUCUCUCUGUCUGUUUCUAUCUGUUUCUCUGUCUCUCUCUCUGUCUCUCUCUGUCUCUCUCUGUCUCUCUGUCUGUCUGUUUUUGUCUCUUUCCAUAUCUGUCUGUCUGUCUCUCUGCCUCUGUCUGCCUCUGCCUCUGUCUGUGUCUCUCUGUCUCUCCCUCUGUCCGUCUCUCCCUCUGUCUCUCUGUGUCGCUCUCCGUCUCUCUGUCUGUCUCUCCGUCUCUCUGUCUGUCUGUCUGUCUGUCUGUCUCCGUCUCUCUCUUUGUCUCCGUCUCUCUCUUUGUCUCUGUCUCUCUCUGUCUCUCUCUGUCUGUCUGUCUCUCUCUGUCUGUCUGUCUCUCUCUGUCUGUGUUUGUUUCUGUCUCCAUCUGCCUCCGUCUCCCUCUUUCUCUGUCUGUCUGUAUCCGUCUGUCUCCGUCCCUGUUUGUCUCUGUCUGUCUCUCUCUCUCUGUCUCCGUCUGUCUAUCUCUGUCUGUCUAUCUGUUUCUGUCUGUCUCCAUCUCCAUCUGUCUAUCUCUGUCCUUGUUUAUCUCUGUCUCUCUGUUUGUCUGUCUCUGUCUGUCUGUCUCUCUGUCUGUCUGUCUGUUUCUCUCUGUCUAUCUCUGUCUUUGUCUCUAUCUCUGUCUGUCUCCAUCCGCCUCCGUCUUUGUCUCUCUGUCCGUCCCUGUUUGUCUCUGUCCCUGUUUGUCUCUGUCCCCAUCUGUCUCUGUCUGUCUGUCUCUAUCUCCAUCUGUCUCCAUCUGCCUCUGUCUGUCUGUGUCUGUCUCUGUCUUUGUCUGUCUGUGUCUGUGUCUGUGUCUUUCUGUCUUUGUCUGUCUCUGUCUCCGUCUGCCUCCGUCUGUCUCUGUCCCUCUCUCUCUCUGUCUGUCUGUCUGUCUCUGUCUCUUUGUCUGUCUGUCUCUGUCUGUCUCGGUCUCUUUCCUUCUCUGUCUCUUUUUGUCUCGGUCUCUGUCUCUUUCUGUCUCUGUGUCUGUCUGUCUCUGCCUCUCUCUGUCUCUCUGUUUCUCUGUCUGUUUGUCUCCGUCUGUCUGUCUGUCUCCGUCUGUCUCUCUCUCUGUCUGUCUCUGUCUCUAUCUCUGUCUCUCUGUCUGUCUCUGUCUCGGUCUCCAUGUGUCUCCAUCUGUCUGUCUGUUUCUGUCUGUCUCAGUCUUGGUCUCAGUCUCUGUCCUUCUCUGUCUCUGUCUGUCUCGGUCUCUGUCUCUGUCUGUCUGUCUCUGUCUCUUUCUGUCUCUGUGUCUGUCUCUUUCUCUGUCUCUGUCUGUCUGUCUGUUUCUGCCUCUGUCUGUCUCUGUCUCUAUCUCCAUCUGUCUCCGUCUGCCUCCGUCCCUAUUUGUCUCUCUCUCUGUGUCUGUCUCUGUGUCUGUCUCUGUGUCUGUCUUUGUCUGUCUCUGUCUGUCUGUCUUUUUCUGUCUCUAUCUUCGUCUGUCUCCGUCUGUCUUCGUUUCUGUCUGUCUCCAUCUAUGUCUGUCUCUUUCUUUGUCUGUCUGUCUGUCUCUGUCUCUUGCUCUGUCUCUGUUUCUCUGUCUGUCUCUGUCUGUCUCCGUCCCUCUCUCUCUGUCUCUGUGUCUGUCUCUGUCUCGCUCUUGGUUCGUCUCGGUCUUGGUCUCUUUCCUUCUCUGUCUCUGUGUCUGUCUCUGUCUGUCUGUCUGUGUCUGUCUGUCUCUGUCUCUCUGUCUCUGUCCCUGUCUUUCUCUGUCUGUCUCUGUGUCUCCCUCUGUCUCUCUCUGUCUCUGUCUCAGUCUGCAUCUGUCUCCUUCUAUCUGUCUGUCUCUGUCUGUCCCUGUC
ensembl:lncRNA